rnacentral:rRNA from 1 species
GCCGCGCCGAGAAUAUCCGGGGCUAAGCUCGUCCGAAGCUUCGGCAGAAGGUUUACCUUCUAGGCAGGGGAGCAUGCAUGUGCACAGAAGCUGUACUGCAAGGUAUGGUGGAGCGCAUGGAAGAGAGAAUGCCGGUAUAAGUAGCGAAAAGAGGGGUGAGAAUCCCCUCCGCCGAAAGCCUAAGGUUUCCUGAGGAAGGUUCGUCCGCUCAGG